rnacentral:rRNA from 1 species
GAUUGACGGACUGAAGGCUCUUUCUCGAUUCCGUGGAAAGUGGUGCAUGGCCGUUUUUGGUUGGUGGAUCGAUCCGUCUGGUUAAUUCCGUUAACGAACGAGACCUCGGCACUCCGAAUAGCGCGGCGGACGUCGCGGCCUCCGGGCCGUCUUCCGCACGAGCUUCUUAGAGGGACCGUCCCCCGCCGGGGAAGGAGGUGCGAGGCAACGACAGGUCUGUGAUGCCCUUAGAUGUUCUGGGCCGCACGCGCAUUACACUGACGCGUCCAACGGGUGACUCCCGACCCGAAGGGGCCGGGAAUCCGCAAGGCGCGUCGUGAUGGGGAUUGAACGUUGCAAUUGUUGUUCACGAACGAGGAAUUCCUAGUAGGCGCGGGUCAUCAACCCGCGCCGAUUACGUCCCUGCCCUUUG